AUGCAUGAGUUAACUAAGGAAAACAUUGAGCGUAUGAAUGCUAAAUAUAAACUUGCUGGAGAUAAGGGUAGAAAACAUGUUGUGUUUGCACCUGGAGAUCUUGUUUGGUUACAUUUGCGUAAGGAUAGAUUUUCUGAUUUGCGCAAAUCAAAGCUAAUGCCACGUGCUGAUGGUCCCUUUAAGGUGUUAGAGAAAAUAAAUGAUAAUGCAUAUAAACUUGAGCUGCCUGCAGAUUUUGGGGUUAGUCCCACUUUUAACAUUGCAGAUUUGAAGCCUUAUUUGGGUGAGGAAGAUGAACUUCCGUCGAGGACGACUUCAUUUCAAGAAGGGGAGGAUGAUGAGGACAUCAAUACCAUUGUUACACCCACAGCCCCUACUGCUACAUAUACGGGACCAAUUACUAGAGCUCGCGCACGCCAAUUAAAUUAUCAGGAAACAGACCCUCGUGGUCAGGUUGAUCGUGCUCCGGCGUGGUCAAUAACCUCUCGGAGUUGGUUUAGCGAUUGCUAA
rnacentral:rRNA from 1 species